ACGGCCAUAUUACGUCGAAACAUCGGUUCCCGUAUGAGUACAAUCAUCGAAGUUAAACAACGUCGAACCUGGUCACUACCUAGAUGAGUAACCUCUUGGGAAUACCAGGUGCUGUAAG